GGGCCUGUGGUGCAGUGGUUAGCAUACUUGCUUUGGGUGCAAGUGGUCCCAGGUUCGAACCCUGGCUGGCCCC
rnacentral:tRNA from 1 species